rnacentral:misc_RNA from 1 species
GUGAAUCAUCAAAUCUUUGAACGCAAAUUGCACUCCCUGGUAUUCCGGGGAGUAUGCCUGUUUGAGGGUCGUUAGAAGAAAAAUCGAAGCAUCGCUCUUUUUUUGUGGGUGAUCACGUCGUAAUUGAGCCGACUUUCAAAUAUUAAUUCAUUUCAAAUUGUCUUAAAAUUCAUCCAUCCGGUACGAUUAGAGCGUAUUUACGAUCAAUUUUGAUUAAGAACG